GGUUGUGUAGUGUAGCGGUUAUCACUCCGGAUUCUGAUUCCGGCAACCCCGGUUCGAUUCCGGGCACGACCU
rnacentral:tRNA from 2 species